ACCAAGACAUUCUCCUGACCUGUGAACAUCGGCGUCGUGACGUUUGUUUGCGGUCGCUUCGUGCAGGAGAACAUCAGCAGGUAACAAAGUCAGACGGAGUUACCGCAGUGCCGCUGUUUGAUUCACGGACACCGAGAGGCUGGAAGGACGCAGGGCUGUACCGCUCAUGUCCCUUUGAAACUGAAAAACUGCGACACACAUGGAAACGUGUGGAUGAUGAAAACAGCGGCUCUACAGUCUUUGUGUUUCCCUGACGGGCAUCAAUAAUAAAGUCAUAGAUGCAA